rnacentral:misc_RNA from 1 species
GAUGAAGAACGCAGCGAAAUGCGAUACUUGGUGUGAAUUGCAGAAUCCCGUGAACCAUCGAGUCUUUGAACGCAAGUUGCGCCCGAAGCCAUUAGGCCGAGGGCACGCCUGCCUGGGCGUCACACGUCGUUGCCCCCCCAUCUACUCCUUCGGGAUUGCGGGGGGCGGAUGAUGGCCUCCCGUGCGCCUCGUCGCGCGGUUGGCAUAAAUGCCAAGUCCUCGGCGACGCACGCCACGACAAUCGGUGGUUGCGAAACCUCGGUUGUCCGUCGUGUGCGGUCGUCGCGCAUCGAGGGCUCGAAAAAAUUGCCGGGCUCCGGCUCGGCUUUCAACGCGACCCCAGGUCAGGCGGGGUUACCCGCUGAAUUUAAGCAUAUCAAUAAGCGGAGGA